rnacentral:rRNA from 1 species
AGCUCAAAUAGCGUACAUUAAAGUUGUUGCGGUUAAAGCGCUCCUAGUCGAAGGUGUGGGGAGGGAGUGGUUGUCGGGGUUUUGCCUCGGUCAGCUACGCUGUCUCCAUUGGUGUGGGUGCGGGGUGGUGCCAUUAACUUGGUGUUGCCCGGUAACGUGCCUGCUCGUUUACUGUGAACAAAUUAGAGUGUUUCAAGCAGCCUGUAGCGGCGUGAAUAUCCUAGCAUGGAAUAAUGGAAUAGGACGGAUGGUUACUAUUUCGUUGGUUUGGAGAGCCAUUUGUAAUGAUUGAUAGGAACAGUCGGGAGGCUUGAUAUUCGGAAGUCAGAGGUGAAAUUCUUAGAUUUUCCGAGGAUCGACUAGUGCGAAGGCAUUGCCUAGGGAUGUUUUCAUUGAUCAA